rnacentral:rRNA from 1 species
AGAGCGAACGCUGGCGGCAGGCCUAACACAUGCAAGUCGAACGGAUCCUUCGGGAUUAGUGGCGGACGGGUGAGUAACACGUGGGAACGUGCCUUUUGGUUCGGAACAACUCAGGGAAACUUGAGCUAAUACCGGAUGUGCCCUUCGGGGGAAAGAUUUAUCGCCAUUAGAGCGGCCCGCGUCUGAUUAGCUUGUUGGUGAGGUAAAGGCUCACCAAGGCUACGAUCAGUAGCUGGUCUGAGAGGAUGAUCAGCCACAUUGGGACUGAGACACGGCCCAAACUCCUACGGGAGGCAGCAGUGGGGAAUCUUGCGCAAUGGGCGAAAGCCUGACGCAGCGACGCCGCGUGGGGGAAGAAGGCUUUCGGGUUGUAAACCCCUUUCAGGAAGGACGAAGCCACUCGGGUGAAUAGCCAGAGGGUGACGGUACUUCCAGAAGAAGCCCCGGCUAACUACGCGCCAGCAGCCGC